CUCCCAUGCUAUUAUUAUCUUUGUGCCUCCUGGCUAAUGCAGCAAGAUGAAAGAUAACCCUUUCAUUCCCAGGUCCCAGAGCCCUUAUUACUUCCUACCUACCUCUAAAGCUGCUGAGCUGCCGUGAUUUGAGAUAUAUUUUUUUCAUUCCUGGAAAUAAAGAGAAAGAUAAGAGAUAUUCAUACCUUACUUUCAACACAGGAUCCACUGGAAGGAAAAUGUGAAGUGACAUCUCAAUCACGCUGGCAGCCCUGUUAUCUCAGGAGGGACAUGAAGAAAAAGAGGGGGGAACUACAGGUGCCAAAUGGUACAUUCACCAUACUACCUUAUAUACCCAGAAUAUUCACUGUAAUCUACCUGCAAAAUGAGAAGAAGAACAGUCAACCCAGCAUCGUUGUAAGAACAGAAAUAGACGACAAUGGAAGGGUUGUGCAACCACCUGCGCUUCAGUCAAGCUUCAGGAGCCUGUCUCACUGACUCAGCCAGACACAAUGCCCUCCAGCUACAAGAACUGUGUGCUAAAAAGAAGCCACACCUUCCAAAGAACAGAGUGCUUUUAACCCUGCCAGCUACUAUGUAGUGACAAAGUCCCAGGUAGACUCUGAAACCUCAUACUAAGGAAAGCUUCCAAUAUCCCACCACCCACCACUCCCCUUUAAUCGAGUCUUUAACUAGAGCCCAGAUUGACAAUGUUAUGUUACAAAAACGUGGCAUUAGCAGGUUAUGCGUAUUUCCAAUAUGCCAGAGGUGGAACACCAUUCAGAUGUGUUGUGGAAGACCUUUUUUGGGCUAGCCUUUGGUAACAGUGUUAAGAUGUUGAUGGGAGACAAUGAAUUAAUGAAUCUUAGGCUGACACCUCAGAGACAAAAACCAGCCACUGCAUAGUGCAGAGUGUUUCAAGGGUGUUCUGUAAUCUGUCACCCGGCUGAUGUUUCCUGUCCCUGCCUCUUUCUCUAAAUUGCCCUUAGAAACUUUCAGGCAUGGUAGAACAAAGUUAGAUAUUUCCCCUACCCACCAUCUGCUUCUUGGACAUACUGUAGUAUAGAAUGCACCUAGUAAUAUAGCGAGAUAUAUAUAUAUAUAUAUAUAUAUAUAUAUAUAUAUAUACACACACACACACACACACACACACACACACACACAUCUCAAAGCUAUAUUACUAGGUGCAUUAUGCAAAAUCCCAUAAUCAUGUCUUAUUUAGAUGGCAACAUUUAAGAUGUCAGGCACGAAAAUGAAAUGUUGGAUGUUACCCUCUGCAAUAAUAAAUAAAUAAUCAACUCUUCAGCCUAGCAAACCAAGACAAGGGCUAAACUAAAAACUUUCCUUCUGGUGUGCUUGUGUUUUAGAUGCAGGAUGUUGGUUCUGCAUGACAGAGCUGUCAUCUGAAAUGAUAUAAUCCAGAAAGGAAUUUACAACAUGAUCUUUCAGAAUAUGCAACUGUAUAUAUAAUUAUCAUAUUUUGUGGGAAUGGAUUCUUAACAGCAUAAUCUGAGGAAUGAGAGUUCUCUUUUAGUUCUUUUCUGGACACAAUUCAAAGUGCUGAUUAUUACCUAUAAAGGUCCCAGCAAUUUGGGACUGUAUCGUGUGAAGGGCCUCCUCUCCUCUCAUAAACUUAAUCAUACACUGUGUUCAACGUAGAAGCCUUUGGCGGGUUACACACCGCCAUUUAGUAUGUAAUGAAUAUGUACUAGGGUUAGGAAGGGGCGGUGCUUCCGCACCCCCCUAACCCUAGUACGUAUUCU